GACAGAGGGUGCAACCGUUGCUCGGAAUUACUGGGCGUAAAGCGCGUGUAGGCGGGUUGGUAAGUCAGACGUGAAAUCCCCGAGCUCAACUCGGGAACUGCAUUUGAAACUGCCAGCCUAGAGUGAUGGAGAGGGUAGCGGAAUUCCUGGUGUAGAAGUGAAAUUCGUAGAUAUCAGGAGGAACACCGGUGGCGAAGGCGACUACCUGGACAUUAACUGACGCUGAGACGCGAAAGCGUGGGGAGCAAACAGG
rnacentral:rRNA from 1 species